CUGGGUAGCUACGUUCGGAAGGGAGAAAUGCUGAAGGCAUCUAAGCGUGAAACCCUCCCCAAGAUGAGAUUUCCCGAGCCGUAAGGCUCCUAAAGGCUCCUGGAAGACUACCAGGUCGAUAGGCCAGGUGUGUAAGGCCAGCGAUGGUCUUAGCUAACUGGUACUAAUCAGCCGUGCGGCUUGACCUU
rnacentral:rRNA from 1 species